AAUGACUGUGGUGAAACAUCUUUAGCUGGAGGCAUGGAAUGAAGAGGAGGUCGUGCUGCCAAAGGCAGAGAAUAGAGCAGCUCUGAGCAGGGGCUCUCCAGAAACUGUGAAGUACCAGGCGAAUGCCACCUGUCUGCCUGUCUUUUGAGAGACUUUCAUCUGGUCAGAGGGGACAGCUGCUCAGAGACACAUCCAAAAUCCACAAAGCGGGCUGGCAGAACCCCACACUGAUGACAUCGGGCUGGCAGCAAGAGCAGAAACAUCAGAGGAUAUGA
rnacentral:lncRNA from 1 species